GGAGGGAUCAUUACCGAGUUUACAACUCCCAAACCCAUUGAGAACCUUACCUUUGUUGCUUCGGCGGGACUGCCCCGGUGCCUUGCUGCCCGGAUCCAGGCGCCCGCCGGAGACCCCAAACUCUUGUUUUACUAUGAGAAUUUCUGAUUGGCAUAUACAAAUAAAUAAAAACUUUCAACAACGGAUCUCUUGGUUCUGGCAUCGAUGAAGAACGCAGCGAAAUGCGAUAAGUAAUGUGAAUUGCAGAAUUCAGUGAAUCAUCGAAUCUUUGAACGCACAUUGCGCCCGCUAGUAUUCUGGCGGGCAUGCCUGUUCGAGCGUCAUUUCAACCCUCGAGCCCCUCUGGGCUUGGUGUUGGGGUGCGGCCUCCCGCCCUUAGGGCGCGGCCGGCCCCUGAAAAUCAGUGGCGGUCUCGCUGCAGCCUCCCUUGCGUAGUAGCACACCUCGCACUGGAGCGCGGCGCGGCCACGCCGUCAAACGUAGCCCUAGGGCACAAUUUUAUAAGGUUGACCUCGGAUCAGGUAGGGAUACCCGCUGAACUUAAGCAUAUCAAUAAGCGGAGGAAAAGAAACCCAACAGGGAUUGCCCUAGUAACGGCGAGUGAAGCGGCCAACAGCUCAAAUUUGAAAUCUGGCCCUUGGGUCCGAAUUGUAAUUUGC
rnacentral:rRNA from 1 species